UGCAACGUCCUGGGAGCAGUCCCAACCAUCAGCCCUGGAUUCCUCAGACUCGCAGGAUACAAUGAUCCUUUCUGAAAGCCCUUCUGGAAGACGCCAGAGGCUGGAUACAGAGGCUAAGCAGUUGGUGGAAUCCAUUCUUACCAAGAAAUCUGGUGGGGAACUGAUAAUAAAUUAAUACAACCGAACCAAGUCCUUGAUGGAUGAAAGCAGAAGUAAAAUGGUGAACAUUCUAGCAGCUGACAUAACAGAGAAAAAUGGUACAUCACCACCCAGAGGGUUGAAGGAAAUGUAUGCCAAAGGUAUCGUGGCCUUAUUCCCCUACCUCAGUGACCCUUAUUCCAAG